AAUCAAACACGAAGGAAGCCUGAGGACAAGGGGGCUUGAAAAGAUACACCUUUGAAGUGGACGCACGAAAGCAGCCCGAGAGGCGCGUACGCGGAGGCGACGUCAUAAGGAGACAGAACCUGAUGAGAGCAUCCCAGACAGAACUGCUUCUGUCAGCACUGAGGCUGGGGGCUCGCUCGCCACCAGUCUGUGAGAGCCACCACCAGGAAACAGAGCGCUGGCCCCGCGGGGACAGCCCGGGAGCAAGGUCCCCACGAGCCGGGAUCCAAGAAAACGGGGGUGUCAGGAAGACGUAUCUAGCACCUGCUGUGCCCCUGCAGUUAAACAGGUUUCCUGAGGACCUGGUUCGUCCCACCACGACACCAGGCCCAGGGCGUGAGCUCAGUGAACGCAGUUCUUACUGACGUCAUCACAGCAUCACCAAGGCUGGGAGGGCCGCCUCUCACCCUGGAAACCCCCGUCGUUUACUUGGGCACCAUGAGCGUAUUAAUCAAAGUAGCUUGACUCACGCUAUCGAAUGUUUUCACGUAGGAAAUAAAACACAGGAUAAUUAAAACAACUGCCUAUACCCAGAGUAGAACGCGGAGGAAAGAUCGGUCCUGUGAGCCAGCAGGUUUCAGCCUCACGAGGACGCUCAGUCAAAAGUGCUUCUGAUUCUCUACACGUAUCUACGAUGGACCGAAUCUGAGGGCGCUGCGUGAUGGACACCUGCGAAAUGUGUUAACGGGUAAACCACUGACCCAUCAGUGGCUGAGCUGAGUCCCAGUACACUGAGCUCUUCCAGGAUCCAAUUUCAAAGCUGGAGGGCAAGCGUGAAAUCCCAGCAGCGAUCUCAGAUUUUUCUCAUUCUGUCCACUUAGAUUUUUCCUCGUUUCUCUUAUCACCCUGUGUCCCUAAUGUCCCUAACACCUCUCAUUGCUAACAUCUGUCUUACAAGUAGACAUUUUAAUGCACCAAAUACAUUGUCAUCCACCUGAUUCUUAUUUCCUGUCUGAUAAAGAGGAAACACUGUUGUUUUGCCUUUUUAAAAAAUGUAUUUAUACUUAAAGUAGAUGCAUUUUACAAGAUGAUUUUCAAAAGGUUGGUUACUGUUCUUUUUUAUCUUUACUCAUUGAGUCAUUCCUGAGUUCAUCCCGGAGUUAUUUUUUAGAUAAAUUUGGUGUAAUCUUAUUAAAUUCCUAUAGGUCAGGCAAUCCUAUCUUCUCAAGUUGCUCUUCUCAUUUUUGCUGUAUGCAGUUUUUUGUUUUAUCUUCAACAUUUACAUUCAACUAGAUACUUUUAAGUGGAUUUCAGAAAACAUUAAUUGAUCCCAACAUAUUAAUAUAUAUGUACAUUUGUAUAUAUACACAUACAUAUAUAGAACUAAGCUCUUAAAUUAUUAAAACUUGUUCUAUAAACCGGUAAAACAGAAGUCUGAAACUGCUUUAUAAUUGCAAUCUGUCAUUUUUUUAGAUAAAAGAAACACACCUCGCUCUGUUCCUGUUAACACAGAGUCUGACGUUAAUUAGCAAAGAAGUUUUGGAAUAACUCAGGAGGUUCAGGGGAAAAGCCUGGCAUUUAUAAUCAAGACCAGAAAAUUACUGAACAGAAGCAAGUCAACAAGUAGCUGAAAGCACCCUGGGGCUCUGGCUCGGAGAUCGGCAAGCCUUGCAGAUUUUCUCUAAGCCAUUUCAAUAGCUCGCCACAACCCUUCCCCAUCUUUCAUUUGCUUUUUCAAAUAUAUAAUAAUUCACCUGACAUAUGUCCCAAUUU